UAGACUUUUUACCGGCCUGCUGACUGUCUUUUUCGAUAGUAACGCGUUCGCGAAAUGUGUGUGCCGAGUUUUAGUGAAUAUAAACUCUAAUUCCGACCGGAAAUCACCGUGAAAUCGCCUUAACACACUCAUCAACGAGUUUUGCAACACUCAGCGUCUCAGAAUCGCCUGAUGAUGAUGAUUCCUGAUGAGACGUGACAGACCACCCAGCGUGGAUACGCGCCGUUUUACACCUUUCCGGGGCAUUAUAAUGCGGCAGGUAAAUGUGGUGGCGUCAUAAAUUUCAAGUAACACCAGAUAUAAAGAAUAAAACGGUGACGAAGACACUUUGUGUCAAAAGAGGAGCAAAGAACAGGAAGAUGGACAAAAACGAUGGGAUAUCAGCACUAAAAGCGCGAAACCGCAAGCAUUUGCAAAAGUUUACUUCCUGUGGUGACAUGGAUGACAAUAAAAAUGUGUUACGGUGUUGUAAAUGUAAACGAUGACAAACAAACAAAUAAUAAAAGAAACUAAUAAUAAAUU